rnacentral:misc_RNA from 1 species
GGGAGUAAUCAAAUUACAUGAAAACAUAAAGGUUACAAAAUCAAGGAAAACGGAGCACAAGAUUAACGUGGAUUGGCAAAAUUCCACCAAAUCAAAGAAUAAGGAUCAGACAGGACAAAGUGAUAUUAACAAAACAAACCUAACACCUACUAUAAUCUAACAAUCCUAUCAACUCACAGAUUCAACCGCAGCAUGUGUAGUACUUAAAGCAUAUAAACGAG